AGGAUCCGUUGUAACAGCUAAGAAUAGCAAAAAAAAUCCGACAAAAAAAAUGACCACAGCUAAAAAGGUUCGUGAUACCCCGGUGGUUGAGAAGCGCAAAAACAGGCAACAAAUAUUGACACCGGAUACUAAUACAUGCGGACCAGCAAUGCGGACAAGGGGGGCUAGAAAAGUUAAGGAUGCACAUUGUGAGGAGAAGGUACGCAGGAGAAAGCUAAUAAUUUUACCAGAUAGUGACUUGGACACUCCGAUGGAAAACAUUGA